GCCGGGUGCGGUAGCACGUGCCUAUAGUCCCAGCUACUUGGGAGGCUGAGGCGGAAGAUCACUUGAGUCCAGGAGUUCUGAGCUGUGUUGUGCUAUGCCAAUGGGUGUCUGCACUAAGUUCGGCAGCAAUACGGUGACCUUCUGGGAGCAGGGGACCACCAGGUUGCCUAAGGUGGGGUGAACUGGCCCAUGUUGGAAACGGAGCAGGUCAUAACUCCCGUGCUGACCAGUAGUGGGAUCAUGCCUGUGAAUAGCCGAUGCACUCCAGCCUGGGCAACAUAGCGAGACCCUGUCUCUA
ensembl:misc_RNA Metazoa_SRP Metazoan signal recognition particle RNA